rnacentral:lncRNA from 1 species
CAGAAUUAAUCUCCUGGAAAAUAGCAGACAUCCCUUCCUUGGGGCGCGAUGAUGAAGGCAGAGUUGUUUCAGAACUGAAAAGUGAAGCAGGUGGUGGCGGUGGAGGAGCGGGUGCACCUGGACCUGGGGGGGUAGCUUUCAAUGGGGCAGGGGCAGGUGCAGGUGCAGGUGCAGGUGCAGAUGCUGAUGCUGAUGCUAUCUUACCUGUGGCACUCCAUACAGGGCCCAGUGGGUAAUGACCCUUCACAUAAUCCCUCAACCC